AUGACAUUUGAUCAUAUAACAAGAGUUCUAGAGGAUUUAAAGUGUACUACUACCAGUGAAGAUCCGAAAGAAUUUACUUUUGAUUUACGCAAAAUGGUUGAAGCAUGUAGAAAUGAGGAGAUCGAGUCGCUUGUGAAAAAGAAAUAUGGGCAAGAAGCUUUUACAAUCUUUAGGCUAUUGGUCACACAAGGUUGUGCAGUUGAAACAGAUCAAAUUAUUGACACGACAAUUCUUGACAAGCAGAUUGUUCAUUCAACUUUGUACAAACUAUGGAAUGAUGGGUAUAUAGAUACAGAGAAAAUCGCUUCGGCAGCAGGAACAGGGUAUGCACAGUUUUUUGUAUGGAGAGCCAAAAAUACAUUUCGUGAACAGUUCAUCGAUAAUCUCUACCAUGUUGCUUUGAACUUGCGCCACAUGGUGAAUUACAUUGCUGAACUUCUACUCGAGGGUUCGAAGGACGAAAUGAAGCUGCGGAACAGAAAGAACAUUUUGAUCCUAGCUCUCAUUAGACAUGAUGACUCCCUCAUGCUGUUCCAUGAUUUUUGA
rnacentral:rRNA from 1 species